UACGAGGGGGGCAAGCGUUGUUCGGAAUUAUUGGGCGUAAAGGGCGCGUAGGCGGUUUGACAAGUCUGAUGUGAAAUCUAUGGGCUCAACCCAUAGCCUGCAUUAGAAACUGUCGGGCUUGAGUAUGGGAGAGGUGAGUGGAAUUUCCGGUGUAGCGGUGAAAUGCGUAGAUAUCGGAAGGAACACCUGUGGCGAAAGCGGCUCACUGGACCAUAACUGACGCUGAGGCGCGAAAGCGUGGGGAGCGAACAGG
rnacentral:rRNA from 1 species